rnacentral:rRNA from 1 species
CCUUGACGGUAUCUAACCAGAAAGCCACGGCUAACUACGUGCCAGCAGCCGCGGUAAUACGUAGGUGGCAAGCGUUGUCCGGAUUUAUUGGGCGUAAAGCGAGCGCAGGCGGUUUUUAAGUUGAUGUUGAAAGCCCUGCUCACCGUAGGUAAGGUCAUUGGUAAACUGGGGUAGACUUGAGUUGCGAGAGA